rnacentral:lncRNA from 1 species
UUGUUAUACAGGCAGGGUUAGUAUUUAUUGUAUAUACAUGAGUAUAAAUAAUAGGUUUUUAUACCUCAAGUAGAUGGUUGGGGAAUGUAAGGGGGCAAAGAAAUGUUAACCUUGUCUCUGUUUCUAACUGUGAAUUUUAUUCUUUAGCACUUUGAAAAGACAAGACUGUAUAGAUCAAGUAUAAACAGCAAAUAAUAUUGUUAAAGUGCUAUUUUCCUUUUUUUCAGUUUAUCAUGCAAUCUACUUGGAAGAAAUGGUUGCUUCAGAAGUUGCUCGAAAACUUGCCUCGGUGUUUAAUAUUCCUUUCCACCAAAUUAACCAGGUUUACAGACAGGGCCCCACUGGUAUCCACAUUCUUGUUAGUGACCAGGUAAAUCAAACAGGUAGUAGUCCCCCUCCUGCCACACAGGUACUCAUAGUGUUGGAAUGUAAGACAUGCUGCUGGCCUCUUUUGCAGUAGCUGUGUUUAAAUAUAGCCAUUUAUGAAAAGGUGUGGUCACAAUAGUAUCCUAGUAGCAGAAGGAGUACAGUCAGGGAAGGGACUGAGCUUCCCCUAGAGCUCGUAAGGUUUGUGGCAGACGCUGGUUCUUUCUUUGAGGUGAGGCAUUAGGUAUGUUCUCCUUUUACACAUUGUUGGAAGAGUGGCAUUUUUAAAACAUGUAAUAUUAGAAGUAUAACUCCCCAUGCUCCAGCUGUGUUCACUGACAAACUGUAACAGUAGGAACCAGCCGAUGUAAUCUUUAAGUCGGGAUUCACAGGCCCGGGCACAACACGCUGCUCAGUGGCUCACAAACAACAGGCAUAAACGUUUACUGUCUCCUACUGCUGUCAGCGUGACUGGGACUGUGUAUUUGUGUAGGAAACAUGCAGAGGUUGUGUCGGAGUCCUUUAUAAAUUUGUCAUUUCUGGUCAGUUAAGGACUGAGAGAUCGUAAUUAUACUUACAUGUCUGCUUUAUCCUUCUAGAUGGUUCAGAACUUUCAAGAUGAGAGUUGUUUUUUAUUCUCUACAGUAAAAGCUGAAAAUAAUGAUGGUAUUCACAUAAUUUUGAAGUGAUACCUUAUACAGACUGAACUCUAUUCAGUACCAAAUAAAGUCAUGCUUAAAAGUGUGUGAAGACUGAAUCCAAGAAGUCUGGGAAUUGGAUUUUACUGUGAAAUGUUUCAUAUUGAAAACACAAGAUGACCUUCCUAAUGAGCUGUAGGAGAGACAAGUCUCCUCAUUGUCACUGCCACAGCCCAGCAUCCUCGUGAGAGAGAGCAUGUCAGGUGACGUGCAACCAGCUCCUAACCAUGGUGAUCACGAGUACUUGCUUCCCUGGCAGGGGCCAGCGGAAAGACCCCCGCCCCACCUCCCCCAGAAGCAGUUGCUGCUGCUUUUCACACUGUAUGCGGUUUGGAUUGAAUGUAAAACUCAACCGUGGGCAUUUACCUUUCUGUGCCAGUUUGGCUUUUGUUGCCUGACCCUUAUGCUGACCUGGGGAGGAGAUAGGGGGAGCUUCUGGGGGAGCUGCCCUGCACUGCGCUGACAAAGCAGAAUCGGUCAGGUAAGAGGCUGAGCACCUCCUCCGAAGUGAUCAUGUCUGAAGGUGUUCGUCAGAGGGGAUCCUGCCAGACAAGAAGGGCCAAGAUGAUGAGCAAACAGCACUGUCAGCCAUACCUUGUGAGGUCAGUGUGAGCCCUAAGAGUACAGAGACUUGGGUGUUUGGCUUUCGCUCCCAGUUUUAGCAUUUUAGUUUCUGGAUCUCACCUUUUGAAGCCUCCUUGCCUUUUAAACUCGUGUGGUUUCCUUUUCUCAUCUCCCCAUUCCCCCACUUCAGCCUCCCAAGUAGCUGGGAUGCUAGGUGUGCACUCACUUGUCUUGUGCCCAGCUCUGUUCUUAAAUAUGUCUAAAGCCCUUCCCCAGACAUUAGAACUAGGUGAUGGAAUGGGGGACAGUAUUGUUGUUGAUAGUUUCUGAUGAUAUUAAAGGAAUUUUUUGAAUGAGACAAAAUUACCCAUGGAAACACUAGAUGUCAUAACAAGACACUAAAAUGUACCAUAAACCUUCCCUUUUCUCCCCUCAAAUACUGAGUUUCAAUACAAUCAUGGAUAGAUAGUGUGGUGAUUGGUGGGGGCUCUAUACUCUGCAUCCUUCUUGCUUUGUCUGUGACAGGUGUGCCUGUGAGUCGUGUACUCGCACACUGCUCAGAAAGGGAGUCGUUGGCUUUUCCCUUUCUACGCCGCCAUUACCUCUCCCCUCACUCCGAGUUUUUAAAAACUUCUUUCCAUUUUAAUUAUGUAGCGUCUGUACCCGUUUGCUCAGCUGCUGGCUGUGAAUGCGCUUGUCUGACCCCUGUUGUUCGGGUGGGUAGGAAUAGUUAAGGUUUAAGUGUAAUCUCCCCCAGAAGACAGACUACUCCAUCCUUCAGUGGGCAGAAGCGUUGACAGCCUGUUUUACCUGUCCCUGGUUAAUUACUUGCCACAAAACAAACUGUCUCAAUAUUUUCCUCUGGGGCUUGGCAGUGCUGUAGCUCUGCAAGCCCUCUAGGGGGCGCUCCCAUCCGUCCUUCCCUUUGCUUUUGUGUGACCACAUGCUUUCUUUCUGUACCAUUCACUUACUUGGGAAAGAAGUGAAUUUAUCUCCUAAUUGUUUUAGAAUUUUGCUUGUCUAUUUAGCUUUCUUUUUUGGAUCUCAUGAUUUAUGGAACAAUAAAUGUCAUUUAAUGCUGUG